rnacentral:rRNA from 1 species
UACGGAGGAUGCAAGCGUUAUCCGGAAUGAUUGGGCGUAAAGCGUCCGCAGGUGGCUGUGUAAGUCUGCUGUUAAAGAGUCAUGCUCAACAUGAUAAGAGCAGUGGAAACUACACGGCUAGAGUGCGUUCGGGGCAGAGGGAAUUCCCGGUGUAGCGGUGAAAUGCGUAGAGAUCGGGAAGAACAUCGGUGGCGAAAGCGCUCUGCUGGACUGCAACUGACACUCAGGGACGAAAGCUAGGGGAGCGAAUGGG